GGCUCCAUAACCAUGAUCGUAAGGCACGCGCCGCACCACAAACAGAGGGAACCUAAACCUGACAACUACACUGUCGCUCUCCGUAAAGCUCUCAUGUUCUUCAACGCUCAGAAAUGGAUAGCCCAUGUUAACCUAUCUUGAUCAUGUUACCAGCCACGAAAUGGCUCGGAAAGCUAGUGCCUUCAGGGAUAGCCCAUACUGUGGCGUACCUAGCUGGGAUAACAAGCUUCCCGGAGCUCAGGUUAGUUCUCUUUUUGGAAAAAAAUUGUAGUUAAUGAUGUUGUGACGGACUAGAUGCCCUCGCUCUACUAAAGCCAAAUGUACGUCACAAUUAUUAACUCCUAGCUUAGUAUGAUAUUGUCUGUUUUGAGCAUAAGUCUUCACGAAGAAGCUUCUUCGAAAGCGAAAAAGCCAAAAGUUGUUCUUCGUCUUCUUCAAGAUGAGAGGCUGAUCAAGAAGAAGAAACUGAGGAACCAAA